rnacentral:lncRNA from 1 species
CUAUUAAAUUGGUACAGGUGAGGAGAAGAUGAGCAGGGAGGCGGACGCAUGCAUACAUUUACUGGCUUCAUCAAAGCCUCCCUAUUUACGAUGGCUAAGUGGGAUUUACAUCCACUGAGCGAGAAACUCAGACAUCUUCAUGAGUCACCUUCUUCAGAAGGCAGGAUAGACACAGUUCCACUGACAGAUUUCAGCAAUUAACGAACACAACAAGAUGAAACCAAAAACAUUCCGUAAAACAAAGAAAGCAACAGAAUGGUGUAAACCUCUUUGAACUCCAUCUCUCUUGCCUUGUGACUACUGCAACUUUGAAGUAGCUCCUGUUUGUUUCAGCUGAUUACAGGCAUGGGCCCUUCCUGGUGGUUUGUGUCCUAAG